UAUUAUAUUUAAUAUUAUUUAUUUACUAGAGUAGUAUAACAAAUUUUUGAAACUCAAAGAAUUUGGCGGUGUUUUAGUCUUUUCAGAGGAAUCUGUCCUAUAAUUGAUAGUACACAAAUUGUUUUACUUAAUUUUGUUAUCAGUUUAUAUACCGUCGUCAUAAGAUUAUUUUUAAUUAAGAAUUAAUUUUCUUGUUAUUUUAUUAAGUAAUAUGUCAGAUCAAGGUGUAGCUUAUAAUUAAGUAGAGAUGGAUUACAAUAAUUAUAAUUAUAUGAAUAAUUAUUUUAGAUUAAUUUGAAGGUGGAUUUGAUUGUAAUUUUUCUUUUUGAUUUUUAUUUUGAUUAGAGCUCUAGAAUGUGUACAUAUCGCCCGUCGCUCUCAUUAUUAAGGUGAG
rnacentral:rRNA from 1 species